GACGAACCGUGCGAACGUUGUUCGGAAUCACUGGGCUUAAAGGGCGCGUAGGCGGGUCUCUAAGUCCGGGGUGAAAGCCCCCAGCUCAACUGGGGAAGCGCCUUGGAUACUGGGGGCCUCGAGGGGGGUAGGGGCGUGCGGAACUUCCGGUGGAGCGGUGAAAUGCGUAGAUAUCGGAAGGAACACCGGUGGCGAAAGCGGCGCGCUGGACCCCUUCUGACGCUGAGGCGCGAAAGCCAGGGGAGCAAACGGG
rnacentral:rRNA from 1 species